rnacentral:rRNA from 1 species
GACGAACGCUGGCGGCGUGCUUAACACAUGCAAGUCGAACGGAAAGGCCCCUUUGGGGGUACUCGAGUGGCGAACGGGUGCGUAACACGUGAGUAACCUGCCCUUGACUUCGGGAUAACUUCAGGAAACUGGGGCUAAUACCGGAUAGGAAUCCUUGCUGCAUGGUGGGGGUUGGAAAGCUUCGGCGGUUUUGGAUGGACUCGCGGCUUAUCAGCUUGUUGGUGGGGUAGUGGCUUACCAAGGCUUUGACGGGUAGCCGGCCUGAGAGGGCGACCGGCCACAUUGGGUCUGAGAUACGGCCCAGACUCCUACGGGAGGCAGCAGUGGGGAAUAUUGCACAAUGGGCGGAAGCCUGAUGCAGCAACGCCGCGUGCGGGAUGACGGCCUUCGGGUUGUAAACCGCUUUCAGCAGGGGCGAAGCUUGUGGUGACGGUACCUGCAGAAGAAGCACCGGCUAACUACGUG